AGAAGAGCCAUAAUUUCCAUCACGUACUGUAUCGCUGAAGAGAUUUAUGCGUCGUGUAAUAAUUCGUCACGGGCGAGUUAAGGGUGCACGAAAAUCCUAAUUGGCUCUCGGGUUCGCGCACGCCCCGGUCCCGUUUAAUUUAUGUGCGCCCGGUUUCGUGGCCUUUUCAUUUCGGAUCGCGCGCAGUCCGCACACUCGUAAAGAUAUUGUUGCCAGGCACGGCUUUAACAGCUUAAUGACGGCGGUAACGAGCAACGGCGAUGCUUGCACGUCGCGCGACGCGUAUCCGGCUACCGGGUCAGCAGUGCCAUACUUGGUCUCUCAAGAAAGCCAGUUCUCGGCUUGCACUUCUCCCGCUCCCCCACAAAGUCAAAGUGAAAUUCCAAUGAACCUUAAUUUGUUCGCCAGACAUGUCUGGAAUUCCUCUUCCGCGCCUCUCGCUCGGGCUGCCUGCCCGGUUUACUGAACUUCAUUUUCGAAGGUGAAACUUUAUGCUCGAUAGAACUAAUCGUUCUCACCGAACGCUCUGUUCGGUGCUCUACGCGCUCAGCUCGCUCUACACGCACGCACGCAGUCUCGUUCACUUUUCACUUCCUUCCAUACCUGUUUCGUAGUUACGUUAAACGUAGGUUUUAUGCAUAGUUAACGUGUCGUAAGUUCCUUUAAGUAUCUCAAAUCUCUUUUUUUUUUAACGUAGCUUUUUGCGCAAUGUCCGACUUUUAUCAAUGUUUAUCGAAAAUAAUCUAUAUAUAUUCUAAGUCGUUCCCUGAGAAUUAAAUUACCCAUGAAAUAUUCCUGCAAACGUAAAAAAAGGUGAGAAAAUAGAUUAGAAUGUCGUAUACAGCUUCCUGAUUUUACGUCGUAUGUAUGAAGUUUAUAGCUUACUUAUAGUCGGUUUAAAUUCACGAUUAUAUAAGAUGACAAUAGCCCAACUUUCAUACCGCAACCAUAAAGAGAUUUCCAUAGAUCUUCAAGAUAUUGAGGACGAAUACUUAAUUGAAGUCUUACGUGCGGUCUUACGAGCAAUCUUAAAACCGCGAAGCGCUUGUCAUACAGCGGCAAUUCCUUUUUCUCACUUGGUACCGAGAAAGAUUUAUCGCGUAGCAUGCAAAUUAAUGCCGUCGUAAAAUCUACUCGCCCGAUGAUCGCUGCUGAUAGACGCAGGAGAAACUGAGAUGACGCUUUUGCAUAACUAUGCACGAGGAAUGUGAAAUUCUGAAUUUGUUCCAAGAGAAAUUCCUCACUUUGAAUAGCCGUCUCUCGUGUUAAUCACGAGCAAACGCGCGACUAUUCCGUAUCUGAAAAAUCGGAGAAAAAAAGUUUAAAUCCCGAUUUCGACACAUCAAUCAAUCAGAAAAACUGCAGUCAAGAAAACAAAUUCGGCAUUACACAAUUAUCGAAUUCCACUGUCGUUUUCCUUUUGCUAUUAAAGCAUAAUGAGUGAAGGCUAACGAGAUUCAAAGUUCUUUGUCAAGUUUCUCCGCUAUUCUGUAACGUCCGUUCUUAUUAAGACAUGGUACCAAGUAUUCCUCGAGUCCCAUUAAGUUAUGGCUUAAUUAUUCAGUCGGCUGCACCUCGUUUAUGGUUUCGAAAGUGCAAACAACGCUUCCAAUCACGCGGGCAGUCGGGCGUUUCGCCUCAAAGUUCUCACUCGCGAUCUUCUAAUGAUUCUUGUAAUGAUUCGGCAGCGACGAGCGGCUAAAUCGGUCGCUGAACGUAAAUCAGUCCAGCACAUAGAAAUUAGUAGUAAGGGGAUACUCGUUAGACGAUAAGUAUUUCCAAUUCGCUUUCACCGACGACGACAAGCUGUUCGGAGGCAAUUUUGCAAUUUACGACAGGAUCGGUCGUGGGAACACCAAGGAGACAUUGUUAUGUGACAGGUAUGAUGGUCAGUGAUCAUUCCGCGUGAUGACAAGUGACGUUGCGAGUGCUGUCAAGCUCUAAAUUUCAGAUCUGCAAUUAUUGAGAAACGUUCAAUUACAGUAAGCAUUGGGUAUAAAUUUUCAAUGUGACAUGAGAAUCUCUCUGGUUAUAAUUCAAUAAGUUUCUAAUGUAUGGCCAGUAAACAUAUUACAUAAAUAAUUCACGGUACGCACGGUACGCGUUUCUAAGUCAAUUCGAAUAAAACCUAUGAAUGAUUUCUUGGAACGCAGAUUAAUUGCAAGUGUCUUGUAUUUCGAAAUGAUUCACGAUUAUUCUAUAUAUCGCUCAAUUUAUCGAUGAAUGGAGAUACAUUAUUACGGUGACGUGUUUUUAUAGUACACGUUCUAAUGAGGAGAGAGACACACAAGAUAGAGAGAAAUGGGUGCCGCUUUCAGUAGUUGAGUGGCCGGCCUACUCUGUCAUUUCAUUUACAAGUACGUACGAUUUUACGUGCCAGCGAAUUUGGGUCGUAGAGAACUAUAUCGCGCGCGCGCACCAAACAACAAGUUGAUAGUAUUGCGCAAUUAACGAUACGCGAACCGAUAAAGGCGUUUGUGAUCGCCGCCGGUGGGAAUGCGACUUACGUUUCCACGUAACAGAAAGGCUCAUUAUAGUUUUCUUAAAUUACGGCGCUACGUUGGCUGCGAUUGCGACUAACGAGAAGAAAAAGAAAAGAAUUGGCGAGCACGGUCGACCGAUAGAACUCGUGAGUAAAAUCUGUAAACUGGGUGGCUUCGUGCUUCCUUGUUUAUUGAUUCUCUGUAUUAAUCACAAUUCUAAUCAACUAUAUUUUAAUGAAAGUUUAAUGGAACGUCGCGUUAUUCUUAAAUUUUCCAACAUUAGAUAUACACGUGGAAAUCCAAAAUGAAAUUUUCUUGAGAAAUCAUUACGCUAUCACAUCUCGUUUACAUAUUAAUUUUGUUUUACUUGCAUGUACAUUUAUAGAUAUUUAUAAACAAGUUUAUUAUAAUGCAAUCUCUUUUGGAUUUACUUUCUUAACGUUGUCAAGUUUCUGAUUAAAGCAAUGAUAACGUCGAUCUGGUGGUACGCCGAUUAUGAAAGUGAGAAAACGCAUAACAAAAUUGUACGUGAAUUAUACGAUAUUAAAUGUAACUAUUUCGACCCGGCGAGUUCUCACGCACCGCAGGUAGCUAAGGCUCGACGUGAAAGAAUUUCUGCUCACGACGGUUCUAACGCUGGCCUAAGGAUCCCGACAGCGACCUAAACGCGCAGCACUCACGGCAAAAAGGGAAGGGAAAAGGAAGGAAGAUUUCCACCUCUAGACGAGGCCUCAGUUAGAGGAUUAAUAUUUCCUGAAUGAGAUAACAUCGGAGCUACGGAAUGAGAAUCACUAGAAACUGCUAUCUAAAAUAACUUCCCAGUCUCGAACCUCUCAUUUAUACAGUAACUAAAAAAAAUAAUUAUGCGUACUUUCCCAUCUGAGAACAAUUAAAAACAUAUAUGUUAAUUAUUUUGAAACAUUUUAAAACAAAUGCCGAUAAGAAAUAAUCCAGUAAUACAAAUACAAAUGAGGAAAUUAUAAAACCAGUGCUAUUA